rnacentral:rRNA from 1 species
GGGUUGUGAGGUUAAGCGACUAAGCGUACACGGUGGAUGCCCUGGCAGUCAGAGGCGAUGAAGGACGUGCUAAUCUGCGAUAAGCGUCGGUAAGGUGAUAUGAACCGUUAUAACCGGCGAUUUCCGAAUGGGGAAACCCAGUGUGUUUCGACACACUAUCAUUAACUGAAUCCAUAGGUUAAUGAGGCGAACCGGGGGAACUGAAACAUCUAAGUACCCCGAGGAAAAGAAAUCAACCGAGAUUCCCCCAGUAGCGGCGAGCGAACGGGGAGCAGCCCAGAGCCUGAAUCAGUGUGUGUGUUAGUGGAAGCGUCUGGAAAGGCGCGCGAUACAGGGUGACAGCCCCGUACACAAAAAUGCACAUGCUGUGAGCUCGAUGAGUAGGGCGGGACACGUGGUAUCCUGUCUGAAUAUGGGGGGACCAUCCUCCAAGGCUAAAUACUCCUGACUGACCGAUAGUGAACCAGUACCGUGAGGGAAAGGCGAAAAGAACCCCGGCGAGGGGAGUGAAAAAGAACCUGAAACCGUGUACGUACAAGCAGUGGGAGCACGCUUAGGCGUGUGACUGCGUACCUUUUGUAUAAUGGGUCAGCGACUUAUAUUCUGUAGCAAGGUUAACCGAAUAGGGGAGCCGAAGGGAAACCGAGUCUUAACUGGGCGUUAAGUUGCAGGGUAUAGACCCGAAACCCGGUGAUCUAGCCAUGGGCAGGUUGAAGGUUGGGUAACACUAACUGGAGGACCGAACCGACUAAUGUUGAAAAAUUAGCGGAUGACUUGUGGCUGGGGGUGAAAGGCCAAUCAAACCGGGAGAUAGCUGGUUCUCCCCGAAAGCUAUUUAGGUAGCGCCUCGUGAAUUCAUCUCCGGGGGUAGAGCACUGUUUCGGCAAGGGGGUCAUCCCGACUUACCAACCCGAUGCAAACUGCGAAUACCGGAGAAUGUUAUCACGGGAGACACACGGCGGGUGCUAACGUCCGUCGUGAAGAGGGAAACAACCCAGACCGCCAGCUAAGGUCCCAAAGUCAUGGUUAAGUGGGAAACGAUGUGGGAAGGCCCAGACAGCCAGGAUGUUGGCUUAGAAGCAGCCAUCAUUUAAAGAAAGCGUAAUAGCUCACUGGUCGAGUCGGCCUGCGCGGAAGAUGUAACGGGGCUAAACCAUGCACCGAAGCUGCGGCAGCGACGCUUAUGCGUUGUUGGGUAGGGGAGCGUUCUGUAAGCCUGUGAAGGUGUGCUGUGAGGCAUGCUGGAGGUAUCAGAAGUGCGAAUGCUGACAUAAGUAACGAUAAAGCGGGUGAAAAGCCCGCUCGCCGGAAGACCAAGGGUUCCUGUCCAACGUUAAUCGGGGCAGGGUGAGUCGACCCCUAAGGCGAGGCCGAAAGGCGUAGUCGAUGGGAAACAGGUUAAUAUUCCUGUACUUGGUGUUACUGCGAAGGGGGGACGGAGAAGGCUAUGUUGGCCGGGCGACGGUUGUCCCGGUUUAAGCGUGUAGGCUGGUUUUCCAGGCAAAUCCGGAAAAUCAAGGCUGAGGCGUGAUGACGAGGCACUACGGUGCUGAAGCAACAAAUGCCCUGCUUCCAGGAAAAGCCUCUAAGCAUCAGGUAACAUCAAAUCGUACCCCAAACCGACACAGGUGGUCAGGUAGAGAAUACCAAGGCGCUUGAGAGAACUCGGGUGAAGGAACUAGGCAAAAUGGUGCCGUAACUUCGGGAGAAGGCACGCUGAUAUGUAGGUGAAGUCCCUCGCGGAUGGAGCUGAAAUCAGUCGAAGAUACCAGCUGGCUGCAACUGUUUAUUAAAAACACAGCACUGUGCAAACACGAAAGUGGACGUAUACGGUGUGACGCCUGCCCGGUGCCGGAAGGUUAAUUGAUGGGGUCAGCGCAAGCGAAGCUCUUGAUCGAAGCCCCGGUAAACGGCGGCCGUAACUAUAACGGUCCUAAGGUAGCGAAAUUCCUUGUCGGGUAAGUUCCGACCUGCACGAAUGGCGUAAUGAUGGCCAGGCUGUCUCCACCCGAGACUCAGUGAAAUUGAACUCGCUGUGAAGAUGCAGUGUACCCGCGGCAAGACGGAAAGACCCCGUGAACCUUUACUAUAGCUUGACACUGAACAUUGAGCCUUGAUGUGUAGGAUAGGUGGGAGGCUUGGAAGUGUGGACGCCAGUCUGCAUGGAGCCGACCUUGAAAUACCACCCUUUAAUGUUUGAUGUUCUAACGUUGACCCGUAAUCCGGGUUGCGGACAGUGUCUGGUGGGUAGUUUGACUGGGGCGGUCUCCUCCUAAAGAGUAACGGAGGAGCACGAAGGUUGGCUAAUCCUGGUCGGACAUCAGGAGGUUAGUGCAAUGGCAUAAGCCAGCUUGACUGCGAGCGUGACGGCGCGAGCAGGUGCGAAAGCAGGUCAUAGUGAUCCGGUGGUUCUGAAUGGAAGGGCCAUCGCUCAACGGAUAAAAGGUACUCCGGGGAUAACAGGCUGAUACCGCCCAAGAGUUCAUAUCGACGGCGGUGUUUGGCACCUCGAUGUCGGCUCAUCACAUCCUGGGGCUGAAGUAGGUCCCAAGGGUAUGGCUGUUCGCCAUUUAAAGUGGUACGCGAGCUGGGUUUAGAACGUCGUGAGACAGUUCGGUCCCUAUCUGCCGUGGGCGCUGGAGAACUGAGGGGGGCUGCUCCUAGUACGAGAGGACCGGAGUGGACGCAUCACUGGUGUU